UGCUCAAGGACAGCUCGGGCCACGUGC
rnacentral:piRNA from 1 species